GAUGAAGAACGCAGCGAAAUGCGAUACGUAAUGUGAAUUGCAGAAUUCAGUGAAUCAUCGAAUCUUUGAACGCACAUUGCGCCUUCUGGUAUUCCGGAAGGCAUGCCUGUUCGAGAGUCAUUAACAACCGUUUCGAUCCCUUUCUUUCAGAAAUUACAAAGAGGAAAAGGGUUUGGUUAUGGUGGAGGAGGGAAAGGGAGCGUUUAGCCUGUAAAAAAAGAGGCUGUGUUACGCCUCCCCCCCAAAAUUGUACAGGCGGUCGUGUGCGCCCACGCAUCGAGGUGUUGUAAAAGCUGCCACGGCACUUUUCACCUGUGCAGUGCGAGAUUGGCCAGCCGGUUUAAAAACCCCUCCAAACAAUCAAAGGUUGACCUCGGAUCAGGUAGGGAUACCCGCUGAACUUAAGCAUAUCAAUAAGCGGAGGA
rnacentral:misc_RNA from 1 species